rnacentral:snoRNA from 1 species
GCCACAUGAUGAGGGACUUUCCUCAAUAGUUCCUUGUAACACUCCCAUGACUCAUACAAUGACUCUCCGUCCUGCUGAAAGAAGGUGGUGAUAUCAUUCUUCAUUUU